UGUCUCCAUUUUUUUUUCUUUGCAGGGGGAAGACAAAAUGUGCCAUGAGUGAUGGCCUUUGGUGAUCUACAGACAUCCCUGGCUCUAGCAGUCAUUUGUAUGGGGAGCCUGCGUCUUAUGACAAGCUUCUGAGUGCCACCAAAGUUCCCCUCUGCCCUUAGAACACAUCGCGAACUCCUCAGCCUAGAACACAGCCCAGUUUGCACAGACCUGAGGACUCCUUAUGCUCUACCGGUCUCCUACAUAAACGCUUGGCUUCAGAUAUCAAAAGGAUGAAUCAGGGAUGUCUGUGCAUUCCCCUCAGAGCUGUGACUGCUAGCAUGAGCUCUAGUGCACAAUGUGUACCAGAAGCUUGAGGCUCCUCUAUUGCUGAGCCACAGUCCACCCAAUCUCAGAUCACCGCUGGUGGCAACAGGUAGGUUACCAGGUAGA
rnacentral:lncRNA from 1 species